AAAUAAUGUAAAAGAUUUCUUUAAAUAGUUACAAAAAUAUCCUCUCUGUGUUGCUUAAAUAAUAUUUUUUCCUUUUACCUCCUUUUUCUGUUUUUAGGAUUAUAAUGCAAUUAUGAAUGGACUUCCUAAGUAAGAUUUGGCUCACCUAGCUUGGACUGUCAGCUCUCAUUUAAAAUAUCGAAUUUAGGCUUUUGAACUAGGCUACCAAGCCUCCAGAUACAACUACAAUGCAGAUCAGAGGGAAUAUACAGCAAUGCAGGACUAUACUAAAAUGUUUGAUUCAACAAAAGACAACAGGAGUGAGUUUCAAUAAAUUAAACUAAAUUGAAUAAUAAAUAAUAAUUGUUGGUUUCUUGUUUCCUUAAA
rnacentral:lncRNA from 1 species